UUGAGACUGGGUUUGCUCCGGCAGCCCGACCUCCAACCCCUUGUCUAUCUACCUUUGUUGCCUCCGGUGUCUUGGGCCCUAGCUGCCCUCGCCCGGGAAAGGCUUUUUACAAAACCCUUUAUGUUAUGAACCUAGUCUUCUGAGAAAAAACAUUAAUAAACUUCA
rnacentral:misc_RNA from 1 species